rnacentral:lncRNA from 1 species
GAUUAUCAAGGUCGUGGGAAUUCACCAAUGUAUUUCUUUCAUCCAUUGGGACCCAAAAGAACACCAAUCUCCAAUUCAAUUAGGGUUUUAUGUAAGUCUUUAUAGAUCUUUUUUCUUAUAAUUCAAUUGAUUUUGUUCUAUCUUAUUUUGCAUUAUUUAACCUAAUUACAUGAUUUAUAAUUGAUUUCAUCUAGACCCAUGUUUUAUGCUUUAACUUCACCUAUGACCUAUGAACAAUGGUCAUGAAUUGAUAUGAGAUUUUGUGCAUAUUUUCCAAAGGAUGAAGUUAUGAUUUAAUGAUGAUUUUAAUUGAAGUAUCAACAAUUUGUGAAUGUUUUUCUCACGAUUUGAAAGAAAUCAUGAUUUUUGAUUCUUAAGAAGGUAAUAAUUUAUAAGAAUAAAGUUAUGAAAUUAUGGUUUUGAAAAAAUCUACUCUUAUACAACUUUAUUAUUUGAAUAGGUAUUGCGAUCAUUCCUUUCUUAAUCUCAUACUUUCAAAACUGUCUUUAUCUAAUUCCAUUGGGAUUUAACUUAGCACAAAGAGGAAUUUAAGGUAGAGUCCUAAAUAGGGUGUUCUCUAAUAUCACUCUCUAGUCCAAAACUACAUGCCUUGUAGGACUAUCUUAAGUAACCUAUCUCUUGUGGAUCCACAUAGCCUUGAUGAUAUGAUACAUCGUUCUAUUUUUGUAAUCAGAUCUUUUUUUUAAGUGUGGGAGUUUCAUAAAGUUCCACAUUAUAGAUCAUAUGGUCUAUUGUCAGUUAAAUCUAAUAUACCAGAAAAAGAACUAUGAUUUCUCUCAAAGAAUUAAGUUAUGUCCUUGUACUAAUGCAUUGUCCUUGUUUCAUGUUUCUUUUAAGAUCGUGCUUUUCCUAAGGUUUAAAAUGUUCUAAUUGAUCAUGCAUUACAUGUUUUAAGCCUAUUAUGAUACCAUAUGUAUGUUUAUGCAUUUCCCCCCAUACUUAGUACUUUGCGUGUAUCAAUGCAUACUCGUUCCUAAAUCGUAUCUUAAUGUAGUGCCUAAAGCUCUUUCUCCUCUCACUCGUGGCUAGUAGUUUGCUUUCCUCUGAAUAAUAUUCUGUCCUCAUAUUCUGAGGACUAUGUUACCCAUGCUACGUUUUUUAUGUAUUUAGUUUUAGAACUUUGUACGUUAUGUAUGGGUUACCUCCCAACCACUUUUAUGCUGCUUAGAAUGGCUUGUCAAGACAUAGUUAUGAUUCCACAUUUUUGUUAAACUUGUCUUUCAUGAUAUGAGACGUCCUACUUAAACUCUCUUAUUGUGUAUUCUAUUUUAUUAGAUGUAUGUCAAGUGGCUUAUGUAGGACCUCUCGAGGUCUUAUAUUUCAUGUCACGUCUAAGGUAUAGUUUGGAUCGUGAAAACUUCAUGCACAAAUACAAUCAGCAAUCACAAAUAACAUGCACAAUCACAAUUAGUGUGGAAGCCAUAAGUAAAUUAAACAUGUUUAUGUUAUGAGCUUAUCAACAUUAAGUGAAUUCACAUUCAACAUUUAUUUCCUAAACAUAUAUUACACGUGCAUUUCACAUGGAUUAGUGAAUAUGAACAAAAAAAUAAUUAUAUACACGUAUAUCUCAAUAGCCCAAUACAAGACACAUUAAGAGUACAAAUUUAUUCCUUAGAAAAUUACCCCCACAAUCUCAUGAAUUAAUACUCUCCCAUUUAUUUAGUUCCUUAAUUAACACAUGUCUUAGAAAUGGCUAUAACUAGAAAUUUAAUAACACUUAACAUGUGAUCAUCACUCAUUUUCUCACCAAUCCAUAUGUAACGGAACUCUAUUUCGCUUUUCUGAUUCAUAUAGAAAAUAACACAAUUAGGAAAUUCUAUAUUUAGUAUUCACUGAAUAGUAACUUUUUUGUACACAAAAGAAUAAAUACCAUUUCUUUUCAAGGUGGGAGUUUUACUAUCCCAUUGAUAGAAUUUUCAUAUUAGUAGAGUAUUUUUCCUUUUUAAAAUAUGGAAAAAAAUUGGUGAUUCAAAUUCUUUGAUAUUAUUUGUUUUAUUAGGAUUACUGUCUAUUUCUGGACUUACUUUGAUGGGCGGCGUACUCCAUUCUUAGUAUUGCACAGUCAGUCCCGCAUGAGUAGAGUCGCGCAAGAUAGCGAAUAGAAAAGUAGUUUGUCUUUGCGACAAGCAUAUUAAAGUACUGAACAACCCGAGGAGUAGGCUUCCCGAUGCUGAACUGUAUUCCUUUGGUACACAGGUUCAUAUGAAGAGCCUUAUGUUGUCGGCCCUUUUUGAAAAAAAAAAGUGGUGUUUUGACUAACUCUCUGUGCGUAUGUGGGAAAACGAGUAUGUGAACAAAUUGCUUAUCUUUUGCAGAUACUUCUACUUUUUCUCCUUUUGUUCUAGGGCCCCAACUAGAGCUAUUGCUUUUCAGCUUCAAGAUCUUAGCCUAAACCACACCAACAAGAAAACUAAAGGUUAACAAUCAAGAACUAAAAAACCCUAACCCUUAGUUAUUAUCUUCCACUGCCUUAAUAGCAAUAACUACAAACUUUAUCCAUUCAGACUACGUGCCUAAAAGACUGCACAAACUCUCCGUCCAUCCACAAGAAUAUUAUGAAAUAGAAUAUUGGUCUAACUAUUCAGUUAAGAAAACCUAGAUUAUUUGGGGAGAAGAAAAUGUUGUAGAAAUUUGAUCGCGAACUUUGUCUCCUUUCGUAAUGUUUUUAGCUUAUUGUUGGCCUAAAAUAUUAAUACAAUACAAAAUAAAUCACAAAUGGCCUAAGUAUUUUCAAAUUAUAUCAGAAUCCAAAAUGGUAGGCCAACCUCAUGAUUUCACACCUAAUCUAGGUCAAUCCCACUCUUAAUUCAUCUAGGAUUACCAACAUCAUGAAUACACUAGUGCCUUAUGGUAAAUAAAAUCAAAAAUUGCCUUUUUUAAAAGCUACCAAAGGUGUUACACUCUAUAAUAUUCAAAAAUUCACAUUUUCCCUACCUUAGGAUGAAUUUAGCCCCCCCCUCCCACACACAGACGAUCACAAAUAUUUUCGCUAAGGUCUAAAGCUUGAACUAUACAAGUAGGGAUCAAAUUGCUUACUUUACGAAUAUUACUCAUGAAAAACUAUUAAAUUUGCCUUAGAUCACCCUUUUUUUUCUUAUCCACAACAUUUUUUGAUAAAUAUGGACAAUUUUUUGUUUUUUUCUACAUUUACAAAAACUUACCCCACUAUAGUAGCCUGGACCAAUUAUUUUCCUUACCCGUAAUGACAUGAUAUGUUGCUACAAUAGAUACUAAUUUACUCAUCGCUCGUUCCCGAGCGAUAAAAAAACAAUCUGAGUCAAGAAGAAAGUGUUGGCCGACUCCUUAAACAAAUGAUGAUGUUUGUUGCCGUAGGUCCUCCUUGAUUUCUCACGUAGCUUACUCAACUACAUUAUGCUUCUAUCAAACCUUUACCAAUCUAAUUUCCUCUAUUCUCAACUUUUGGAAAUCAUAAUAAAGCAUAGCAACUAGCUCUUCUUCAUAUUGUAGAUCCUUUUAUAGAACUAUUAAGUCUUACUUGAUAAUGUACUCCCCAUCCCAUGGUACCUUUUCAUCAUGGAUGCAUUGGAACACUGAAUGGUAUAUACAUAAAUUGGUGGCAAGCGAACCUAUACUCUAUUGUCCCUAUAUUUCCAAAAAUCUCAAAUCCUUUUACUUCAUAGUGAUAUGAACUCAAACUGGAGAUUUCAACUGUUUGGAAAUGCAAUGCAAAAAUAGGGGAAACAAUGUUCAGAUUCUACCUCGCCAUUUCCACUAUAGAGACUGACAGACCACUAUCAUUGAUACAUUCGUAGCAAAAAAACUCCCACUAUAAUGGCCCUGUCGCGCUAUGCAGCCUUGACGAGUUCAACCCAUAAUUUUUCUAAAAUAAGAAUUGUUUUCCAUUUCCUUAUCCCUACCAAUUAUUGAAACGCAUAACUAUUAAUAAUAUAAUCCCAACAUCCAUCAGAGACUUAAGUAUCCUAGAUAUGUGUAUCCUAGAUUCAAAUGAAACCCCAAGAUUAUAUCCAACAACAUAUAACUAGACACCUAACACUACCUUCUCAAGAAAUUAAUUAUGAAUAACACUAGAAAGUAGUGCAUAAUAUAACAUUUUUUACUAUCAUACCACAAAACCCUCUUCCUCGUGGAUCCCAACCAAUAACAACUAUUCAAAAAUCAGAAUUUCCCCACUGUAACAAUUUAUCCUUUUCCCUUACCAUCUAUACCAAUGGUAAGUCCAUGCCAAUUUAACACGAAAUUUCCAAUACAAAACAUAAGCAUUAAAUUAUAGGACUGUUCUAGUCCAAAACAUGUUCAGUAAAUCAUAUAGAAAUUAUCAUUAAUUAAACACACAUAAUCAAUUUAAGUACCUUUCUUGUCCAUAAUAUCACAGAAAUACAAGUAAUUACACUUCCCAUAGAUGCAAAAAUUCUGGAAAUACAAUGCACAAAGUAACCAUGAUUAAGUUAUAUUUUUAUGGAAAUACAUGUCAUUACCUCUUAUUCAUAUCAUUAAUGACCACAAACUGAUCACCCAAGCAUUCACAUGACUCUUAAAGCCAGAUACUAAAUGGAACUUUCCCGAUUCUAAUCUUUCCUUGCUUGAGUUUGUAUCUAAGAAAUUAUAUUACCUUGUCAAGAAACCAAUAGGAAUCCUGAGAUACAAUUGGACUCACCUCAUAUGACAAAAGACACGCCACACAAAAGGAGUGAUGAAGUGACACAAGUUUCUAAAAUGAUUUAUAGCCUGAUGAUCCAAUAUUUUGACACUAAUACCAAAUUGUCAUGAUUCAUAACCCCAAAAUUACCGUCCCACAUGAUCACACAUGUGGGAUCUGAUACAAAAUUGUCAGAGUCAAAUCCUCUUGUCAUACAUGCACCUACUCUAACACCUAGAUAGGAGAAGAUUAACCCAAAACUUAAAUGUCCCACGUGAUCACAUAUAAUCAAUAUAUGAGUUCAACUCAGCUUUCAUGUAACCUGGACCACUCAAGAUUUCAUAAAAGAUCAUUUGUUUUUUUGACAUUAAAAUAUGAUCUACAUAAGAACCAUUCUAGCAUUUAGCCAACCAUUUAUGGAACAACACGUGAAAAGUACAACAUAAUAAUCAUACCUAGUUCUCUCAUGAGACCCAUACAUAAAGUGAUACUAUAUUAGUGUGAUAUUAAGUCAAUGAUUGUUAGAACACACCAGUUGUGGUAUCCAAGACAACCAUUAGUAUUUUUAAUUAGUUUGGUACUUCGGUCAACGAUUAUUAUUAUAUACUAGUGUGGUACUCGAGCAAACCACUAAUCACCAAAUUGCUAUAACUCAACAAUUUCAUAAUGCCUAACCUUAAAAUCACUAUCAAACCAUCCUAGUAACAAAAUUCAAGGUUAGCAAUCAAGAAGUAGAAAACCUAACCCUUAUUCAUUAUCGUUCCCCACUUUCACUGUAAUAACAAUAAUCUUUAGCCUUAAAGCAUGCACAAAGGUCUGUGCAAGAAACCUCUCAUCCAUGUAAAAGAAUAUUAUGAAAUAAAAUACAAGUCUAACUAUUUAUUCAAGUAAAUCGAGCCUACCGGAGCACCAAGUUAUUCCUGAAGUCUAAUUGCAAACUUUGACUCCUUUUAUGAGGCUUUUUAUCUUGUUCUUGAUCUAAAAUAAUAAUAUAAUACCAAAUCAAUAACAAAUGGCCUAGAUAUUCCAUAUUUUAUUAUAAUCCAAAACUGUAGGAUAAACUCAUGAUUUCUCCACUAUUAAUUUAUUAAGGAUUAUCAAUCUCAUCAUUACUCUAACACAUUAUGAUAAAUAAAAUCAAGAAUUGUCUCUUUUAUCAACAAUUGGUCUUACACCCUAAAAUCCUCAUAAACCUGGAUUUUUUAAUCUUAGAAAAAAUUCAAACCCUUCAAUCGUGCCACAAAUAUUUUGUAAGACCUAAUAGCAAACUAAAAAAGUAUGGAAUCAUAUUUCUUACCUUUAUGAACAUUCCUCAGAAAAAUCUAUUGUAAUUUUCCCCUGGUCACUCUUUUCUUCUCCAAAAUCUUUGUUGUGUGAUGGGCAAUUUUAGGGGUUUUUCUACAUCUAAAAUGUCUUAUCGCGCUAUAGCGGUCAAAUUGGACCCCUGAUGCCGCUAUAGCAACCCAAAUCUUUUUUAAGAUUUUUUUUAUCAAGGGUAAGCUAUAAAAAAUGUACAUUUUCUGUCUUCUAAUUUAGUUUUUGCCGAAAUCAAAAUUGUGUGAUGUCUAUAUUGAAGUACAAAUCUACAAUUUUGUUUGAUUUCAUAGAAUCUCAUUGAUUUUCCAUCGCAACAAUACAAGUAAGUCGAUGUGAUACAACAAUAGAAAUGCUAGAGUUAUACUUACCUCAUAAAACAAAUAAUGAGUUUUUUAGGCUUUUAAAUUCACCCCCCUAAAAAAUGAUGAAUUAGACUUUAAUGAAUUUAAACACAGAUGGUGGAAUGUUUAAUCAAUCUUGUGACAAAGAACCCACUAAAUAAAGGUUUUACAUCUCUCUAAGCUUUUAGAGAAUUCUAGAUAGACUAGAUUGUAAAUAUAUAAGGACCUGUAUAGUAACUUUUUGUUUCUUUUAUGCUUCUUGAUUUGAUUUUCUUACCUUUUAAAUUUAUUAUCAUUUUUGUUGGGCUUUGGUUUUUGGCCUAUCCUUUGUAUAUUGUUUGUUUUACUAAUCAAAUUUUGACUCAAUGUGUAUUUCAAUUAAAAAGGUGCCACAUGAGGAUAUCACUUAGGAAGUUGUCACAAACAUUAAUGAAGUAUUAGAUAAUUGUCAUGAUACAACUUUGUCAUCUAACUGGCAUAAAAUCAAAGCAUAAGUGAUAUAUUCUAAGGGGUAAGGAGGUAGAUUCGUUGAGAGACUUUUGGAAAACCGUAGAAUGCAAAAGAAGAAUUCUUGAAAGGUUUUACAUAUUCCUAAGUUUAUAGAAAAUUCUAGAUAGCCUAGAUUGUAAAUAUAUAAGGACCUGUAUAGUAAAUUUUUGUUUAUACUUUAUCCCUCAGAAGAGUAAUAUAGAUAGUAGGGAUCUAAUUUGAAACUCAACCAAGGAAGUGCAAAACAUUCCUUAAUCAAUACAAAAUGUCUUAUUAUAAACUUUUUUCUUUUUUUCUUCAUUGUCUUACUUAUCUAUAUUUGGAAAGACUUACUUGAGCUUAUAAGAUUGUAAAAGAUCCAUCACUAAGUUGUCAUGUGUCGCACAAAUCGUUAUUUAAAGUCUGAGUCUUUGAAAAAGUGGUAUGAAAGACAGAUUAUUUCUAAGGGAAUGGCUAAUUAUAGAAACAUCAAUGUUGCUAGCACUACCAACGUCAGGUCAGAUGGUGGAAAGAACCAUUGAAAGGAAAGUAAAACCCAUAAGAGUAACAAGGAAUUAUUCUUGACCCUCAAUCACUGAAGCUAGUAAUAAGGAACGUGGUGAGGAGCCCAUUAACGUUAUGCCUGGGGUAAAAAGGAUUGUGAUGGUUAACGCGGUGAGGCGUGUUGUGUAGAUCUUAAGUAAGCCCGUGAACAAGGUCGACAUAAAUUUUAAGACUCUCGAGGACUUUAGCCGUGAAGAUUAUAACAAUAUCCACAAAUAGUUAGAGGAGUGUACGCAUGUGGAGUGUGAGAUGAAUGAAAUAAUAACUUCAUUGGAGUGUAGUGUAAUAGACUUGGAGUCUUACUAAAACAACUUGCACCACUUUACAACAUACUCAUGAAUCAUUCACUAUCCUGUAAGCUCAAGUAAGCCUUUUAUGCUAAGAUCGCUAAGAGAAUGAAAGCGAAGACUUAGAGAAUUUUUGAAGGGGGCUUUAUAUUUCUUAGAUGAUUUACAAAUGAGAUCCCUUAUAUUUAUACUACUCCAUAGGGGGAUAAAGUGUAAAUAAAAAAUACUACAGAAGUUCCUAAGUUAUUUACACAUUGGUCCAUGUUCUAGAAAAGUCUACACUUUCUAGGAUUUUCCAAAGCUUUCCUAGAAAAUAUCUAUUCUCUCUUCUAGAACUUUCCAAAGCCUUCUUGAAAGUUUAGACUCUAGGGGCUUCUAGAGUUUUCUAUAAACCUCUAUAAAACUCUAGACUCUUCCACCCCUAUCAGAAUGGAAAAUCUUCCUGAGAAUUGGCAAGACGUAACAACUCCCCCACAUAUUGAUGCCACAACCGCGUCACAUCAUCGCUGAUUUGCCAACCAAGUCUUGUCUUCUCGUAUGCACGACCAAGAGUCCGUUAACUUAAUCAAUGCCCUCGCCCAACUCUUUCAAGUGCUUUUUUAUCUCUUAUAACUCGGACUCAUGAUCCACCUCCUUUCUAGGAGGAAAGCACCUCGGAGGCUUCUUUGCAUCACGAUCUUGGAAUCUUCUUCGUGUACGGUGAAAAGUAUUUUUAGCAGCAUUUUCUUCUUUAGAACUUGUAAUGGUGGCUAAAAAUGUUAACUUCUCCUUCUUAGGAUUUUUCUUGAGCUGCAUGAUCGUUAAUCGAACCUGUCGUUCUGCCUUCGAUGCCUUAACCAUGGGAACCAUUCAUGUUCCUCCUUGCUCCAUGACUAUAUAUCAUUGGAGGUAAGAAUUGAUCAUAGCGUGACACUGCUAAAAGAAAUAUUUCCCAGGAAUAAUACCAAAGACGUCUAAAGUUGUGACAAUAAAAUUGUCGUACCUUUCAACUCUCCUAACACGAUGCUUACUCAAUGCGCAACUCCACACACGGGAGUCUGUGGUGCAAUCACCGUGCUGAGUUUGGUGUUAGUUGGACUGUAUAUAAUUCUCAAAAUUUUUAUUAUCGUUUUGGUAAUAAUAUUGGACACUAUACCUAUGUCGAUCUUAGCAUGAGUGGGUCUUCCAUUGAUAGGUAAUCUCGACAUACUGUGCACCAUAUUCUUUUGUCUUUCCUAGUUUUUUUAUAAUGGCUCUGCAUAGUUCUAUCAAGCCUAUCUGCAUCAUCUCUAUGCCUUGUCCUUGAUUUUAUGCAUCCUUCUCCUUCAACUCUCGUAGGAUAGCACCAAGGCUCUUCAGUUUAGGGCACCUUACACAGCCAUGCAACCCACUGCAUAUGUAGCAACCUUCCUCUUUGUAGGUUCCAUCCUUCACUCCGCAUUGCAAUGACAUGAGACUUAUAGGUAUCAUACUUCUUGGGAUAUGGACGCUGCUCCUCAACUUUGCAACAAUCUCUCCCACCAUAGUCUUGACCACCUUUCUUCUCUUCUUUUCUGGUCCUAUCGAGAUUCUCAUGCCUGAAGUCUGUCAAUGCUUUAGAUUGUGUGAUGGCUUCAUCAAUAGUCCUGAUUUGUCGGCGUUCCAACUCCUUCGUAGCCCAAUUUUGUAGCCCAUACAUGAUGUGGAACAACAUAUCGUCAUUCGUGAUGUUGGAUAUCUGAAGCGUGAGGGUGGUGAACUUCUGCACAUAUGUGUGUAUGUUGUACGUAUUCUUUAGCUCCCUAAAUUUGCGCUUCGCCUCAUAGAUUACGCUAUUAGAGAAGAAUUCCUUCUUGAACUCCUCUUGGAAUUGUUCCCAUGUGUUAAUGGUUCAAUGCCCUUCACUAUUUCCAACUCUUUACACCUCCACCACAACAUGAUCAUCUCUGAAAUAUACAACAUAGCAGUAUUGAUGUUACUCUCGUCGCUACUCAGCCUGUUGCACUUUAAGUAAUUCUCCAAAUGCCACAAAACAUUCUCCAUUCUUGAUCAUCACAAACGCCUUUGAACAUAGGUGGCUUAGGAGUCUCGACCUCGGCCUCCCUAUCUCUGUCAAAUGACAAUGAUCCUCCAACUUAUGCCGUUUUCUUGAGUGCUUUUAUCUCGGCCUUCAUGUUCUCAAUCGUGCUCAAUGACUGCAUGAGCCUACACUUAAAGGGAGUGAUAGCCUCCUUCAUCUCGAACUAGGUACACUAGUGUUCCUCCAACUUCUUGUGGAUGUUCUAAUUCUUUUCAUGGGUGAAAUCCUUGAGAGUCUUGAACUUUCCAUCGACCAGGUUCAAUCGUCGAACUAAUAGCUCUAUUGUCUGCCUUGCCAUUUCAACUCUUGCAAUCCCCCCCUCUCCAAGUGUGACAUGAAUGAGCUCCUCGCCAUGGUCAUUGUCAAUUGCUUAACUGGUCGAAGGCGGUGAAAUGUUAGCACCUCGCUUGGUGUGGGAUCUGGAAGCACUUCAUCAUUACCUGACUGAAAUUCCGUUAUGGUCCAAUUCUUAUCGGUAAUAAAUACCGUGACUUUGCAAUAUUUGAUUGAUCACAAUUCUAUAUAUUCCAUUGACUAUAGAAGUUCCCAGGGAAUUCAUUAGAGGAAUGUUUCCGAUAAAAAUUGUUUGUUCUUGCAUAUCCCUACUAUUUUUCCAAAUUAAUCCCACGGAUACAUAUAAUUCAGAAAAAUAUGUGAGUGAUUCAUACACAAAAUCUCUUUCCUUUAUCAAGGGUUUUUGAUACUUUUUCCAUUUCGAUUCUUCUUUCCACCAUCCAAACGGAUAUUGGUGGUGCAGUUUUGUUUACUUCUCACUCUGUAUCCAUUCCCAUAGAACAAACCUUCACUCUAAUACCACAUUGUCAUGGACUUAGAGCCUUACUAAAGCUCUGUGCGAAUAUGAAAACUUACUCACGAAUCUUUCAUGAUCCUGUAAGCUCAAGUAAGCCUUUUAUGCUAGGAUCGCUAAGAGAAUGAAUGGGAAGACUUAGAGAAUUUCGGAAGAAGACUUUAUAUUGCUUGGAAGAUUUCUUACACUUGUUGGAUGAAUUUAUAAAAGAGAGACCUUCUAUUUAUACGAGUCUCUAUGGGGCUAAAGUGUAAAUAAAAAUUACUACACAAGUCUCUAAUAAUGAUGAUGAUGAUGAUGAUGGUGGUGGUGGUGGUGGUUGUGAUGAUGAUGAUGGUGGUGAUGGUGAUGAUGGUGAUGAUGAUGAUGAUGAUAAUGAUGAUGAUGAUGAUGGUGGUGAUGAUGAUGGUGAUGAUGAUGGUGAUGAUGGUGAUGGUGAUGGUGAUGAAGAUGAUGAUGAUCAUGGUGAUGGUGAUGGUGAUGGUGAUGAUGAUUGGGAUGAUGGUGAUGGUGAUGGUAAUGGUGAUGGUCAUGAUGAUGGUGAUGGUGAUCAUGAGGAUGAUAAUAACACUAAUAAUAAAAUAAUAAUAAUAAUAAUAAUAAUAAUAAUAAUAAUAAUAAUAAGAACAACAACAACAACAACAACAACAUUAAUAAUAAUAAUAAUAAUAAUAAUAAUAAUAAGAAGAAGAAGAAGAAGAAGAACAACAACAACAACAACAACAUUAAUAAUAAUAAUAAUAAUAAUAAUAAUAACAACAACAAUAAUAACAACAAUAAUAAAAGUAAUAAUAAGAAUAAUAAUUAAAAUGAUAAUAACAACAACAAUAAUAAUAAUAAGAUUAAUAAUAAUAACAAUAAUAAUAAUAAUAACAACAAUGAUAAGAACAAAAACAAUAGUUACAAUAAUAAUAAUAAUAAUAAUAAUAAUAAUAAUAACAGUAACAGUAAUAACAAUAACAAUAACAACAACAACAAACAACAACAACAAAAACAACAACAACAACAAAUAAACAAACAAACAAACAACAACAACAACAACAACAACAACAAUAACAACAAACAACAACAACAACAACAACAUCAUCAACAACAACAACAACAACCACAACAACAACCACAACAACAAAAACAACAACAACAAAAAUAACAACAACAACAAACAACAACAACAACAACAACAAAUAAACAAACAAACAAACUACAACAACAACAACAACAACACAAACACCACCACCACCACCAACAACAACAAUAUCAAUUACAACAACAAAAAAACAUAUUGCGAACUAUUCUAUAGAACUAGUCAAGAAUAAAUAGAAAAUGAGAUUGAAAUUAUAUUCACUACAUACCCAACCUAGAAAACUAAUAAUAUGUAAUGUUUAUCCAACUUUAAAGUAAAACUAAUAUAUGCUAAUAAGCGCAUCAUCUUUUUCCUCUACAUUGAGUUCCUUCCACUUAUUUGUAGCGCAAGAAAAUUUUCGUGUAAUUAUCCCCAAUUCAUUUGAGAGUUUUGAUGAUUGAACAAACUUAAUAGGUCUCCCUUUUCCUACUGGGAUCUCUAUCAUUAUCUUUUCCCCCAAAUCCCUCUUCAUUUUUUCAAGAACUUUUCUCAUUGUUAUUCCUCGACCCCUCUUAAUUAUUGUUGUGUCAUCUGAUCAAGAAAAGGUUAGUUUGAAACAAUAGCUUAAUUGUAAUAUAAUUUUAUUCUACAUUUAGUGUUUCCAUAUUCAAUGAAGAAUUUUAUGAUUAAAUUAUUACAUAACUAAAAGCAUUAGUUAUUUAUGUUUUGACUUAAAAUCUGAAAAUAACUAAUAUCGAUGUUUGAUUGAUACAAGAAUUUUUAUUGCAUAUCGUAGUAACUGGAGUACAUUUAUUUGACUCAGCGGCAGAUUGAGCAGAUGAAACAAUUUUUCCAGUAAUUGUUUUUUGCUUAUAGACACGUCCUCCUAGAGCCAUGACGUUUUGAAUAUCCCUGCAAAAUAUUUUUGCAUAUGCACAACAAAUGGUAAUUAUAAAGGUUUUGCAUUUUUACGUCUCUCUAUUAUACAGAUCUUGAGAUUUUAUAUUCAACUGGGAUUUACAGGCUGUUAUGAGAAGUGUCUACAACAUGAAAGAUAUGAGAAAUUUCUACGACAUUAAUAAUACCAAUGUUCUGGUCAAUCAAAGUUUUUACGAGGAUCCUACUUUAUAUAUACGGUGUAAUAUUUCACUGAGGAGAUUCGGGUAAACCACCUGGAACCCAUGUGGGUCCGCCGGUGCUGCUGGUGAACUUUUUCACUACUUAUAGAUCUGCACAGGAGCGUAGUCACAUAUUAUUUUUAUACUUAAACUUUAAAAAUAACGAUAAGUAGUUAAAUUAUUCAACUACAAAAUUUAUAUUUUCACUAUUUAAAUAUUGUAUAUUUUCUGACAAAAUUAUGUUGUCACUAAAUCGCAUGUUAAUUAGAGACAAUAAAAUAAUUGUCACUAACUUUUUAUAUUAUUA